CUUGGGCUUUGGCGCAGGGGUUUCUGGGAGUCGCGAGUCGUGGUGUCUGUAUGAGGUGCGGAGGUCGCUCCGUGGGGCCUCGGCCAACGUGAGUGACAGGAGGCUGGCGGAUUGUCUUCCUUGUCCACAUGGGGCGGAAAAAAAAAGUGCGUGUAAAAGAUGACAGCAGCUAGGUCAACUUUUAAACCUGCAAGAGGCGGAAGAGGAAAAGGAGAAGGUGAUUUGAGCCAACUGUCAAAGCAGCAUUCAAGUAGAGACCUGCCUUCUCAUACAAAGAUCAAAUACAGCUGAGUAGUGUGGGAGAAGCAACAGAAGAAGGGACAAGGAAGAAGUAUCAAUGUAGACCACCGAUGAUAAGGAAAAAGAAAACCACCACUGUAGACGGGCGAUAGGACAGUUCUGAAUGCGGGAGUCCCUACCUAGUGCAGCCCUCAGAGGACUGCCGUGCCACCCAUGUCUACUGCAUUUAUUGCACAUAGAACAUUGAAUUAUAAUGAACAAUCUUGCUGUGUUGCAAAGUUGGCAGUAGUCAGUUGAAGAAAUGAAAUCUUCCCAGCUGUAGAAAGAUGCUGAAUAUUUAGAAAGGCAAAAAUGAUGGCAAAAGGAGGUGAAGAACCCCUGGAACUGCUGUCCCUCACUGGCACCCCUGCCUCCGUCCCCUGCAGUGCUGUCUCCAGGAGAGUUCCCAGUCCUACAAAGAGUUUGGGCUUAUGCUGGGGAGAGAGGUUUGUGGGAAGGUAGGGCUGCUAUUUGGAAAUUAUAACUCUCAAGAGUUUGCCAUAGAAACACAAUAAGAUCUAGUAAAGUUACAAAGUACUGUCCAUAUUACAGGUAUAUUCAGUAGGCACUUACUGAUUAUCGUGGAAACCUAGCUAUUUGGUAUAACAUUGUUUCCAGGGGAAAAUACAUCCUGAAAUCUAAGUAACUGCUCCACUGUAGGUUAUUUUUCCUACGUUGUAUACUUAACACUAAAAACAAGUAAUUUUUUGACUAAAAAUAUUUUUUGAUAUGUUCACUCCAAAAGUAUAUUCGGUUAUUGUGUCUAGUAGGAAAAUUCAGUGCUAAUUCAGUUCCAUCCAACUUUCAGGUAGUUGAAGUGAAGAAAGAUAAAGUUUGGGUGAUAAUCAGGGCGCUGGGAUGACCAAGGGCCAGCACCCAGCUGGCUCUCCCUGGUUCGCUUUGUGCUGAGGCUCUGGCCCAGCACAGUGCAUUUUAAGCUGGGUGGCAUAUUUUUUUUACCUACCCCUGUUGUCUCUAAGGUAAUAGGAAUGAAAAAAUAAUCAAUUUUAAUUCCUCAGAAAUUUUCCUUUUAUAUGAAAUUAGGAAUUUAACUUGUGUCUCUUAAUUUUUUUUCUGCUAUAAAUUAAUAAGGGAAAAGAAGCCCAGUAAAUUUAAUCCCCUAAAAAAAAAGAAUUAAAACAAAAUCAUCUUACCUAAAGGUACCUUGGCACUAAACCCCAAGUAAUGUUCAAAUUCUUUGAUUUUAUCAAAACUUUUUUCUAUAAUGUAACUGAAAUAUGUGAAUGCUCAGCUGGGGUGGCAAAAUACCUAUUUGUGUUGUAGUCGUCUUUUUUAAUAGAGUAUGACCUAUAUAGUUAAUGAUCUUGUGAGAUGCUGUUUUAUAUUGUGUAGCUAUUAAAAAAAAUCUAUGAGGUCUAGGUUCUAAUACUCUUUAGGCAGAUUUCAUUGUUAAACACCCAAGAUUAGCAUGAACUCUUAAAUAUUGUUUUGAUUAUGCAAAAGAACUCUUUAGUAUUUGGUGCUCUUAAAAAUGAGGGAAGAAUACGUGUAGAUAAAUAGGAAUAUAGAUACAAUUCUUUUUUUGGUAAAAAUACAUGCAUUGCCAUUUUAUGCUUGUUCUGUAUCUCUGCAUUAUUACCCUUUCAUGUCCUCCAUGUUCUUAUGCCAGCAAGAAAUGUAAAUGCUGUUAACAUUUACAAACUACUCAUAUACUAUAUGAGUAUAUUCAUUCCCUUAGUUACUCAUUCAACAGACAUUAAAGACACAGAGUGAGGAUAUCAGGGUUCUUGCCUAAGCAGUGUGUAAGAAUUGGACCAAAAAUCUGGAUCUUAUGAAGAGAUCUUCAAGAUUAUGCCCCUCACUUGAUGUAGGGUUUGGCAGAUUUUUUUCUGCAAAGACCUAGCGAAUACAUAUUUUACAGGUAGUUGUCUCUAUGACAACUGCUCAACUCUGCCUUUGUGCAAAGAAUUUGGCAUCACAGGCCAAGGUUAGGUGACCUUUCUUAAGUUGCUCAUUAUUGAAAUAUACAUAGUAAUAGUAAAUAUUUUAAAACAUUUUCUGUUACUGUAACUGUACAUUCAUUGGUGUGAAAAAUUAAUCAAAAGCCAACUAUAUAAUAAACACUACAUUUAUAAAAAUA